CGGGGCGAUUUAUGCCCUCGGAAAAUGACAGCCGGAUUUAUGAGCGACAACUAUUGGCCAGAUCGCCGUCCAAUCUGGUUGGCCCUGUCGAGCCGGGCUUUUGUGUGAGCUCUUGAUUUAUGAAACGAAAACCGCCGCCGCCGCCGCUGCCGAGUGACAAAUAUAUUUAUCAAAAUGUCUUAUGUACAUAUGUAUACAUAUACGAACAGGUAUUGGAUUUAUUUGCCCAAUCGAAACGAUUGGUGUUGGGGAAAUGUCAGAAGUGAGAUUUUGCUAGAUCUCUCUCCCCAUCGAAAAGGAAAUGAACUCGGUUAUUAACACCUCACAAAAUCGAAAUUCGAAAUUCCGGCGACAUCUUAUCGUGGCAACUCCGAGAUAUUUUCUUAAUUAAAACGCUCGUAAACAUCGGGGAAAUACUGUUGACAAAGUCGGACAAGUGUCUUAGGAUUUCUCGAAAUUAGGAGCAAUUUAUGAAACGUG